CAGCUCCCGAGGCAUAUCGCAGCCUCCCACGUCCUUCAUCGGCUCCUGGUGCCAAGACAUCCACCGUGCGCCCUUAAUAACUUGGCCACAAAGAUAAAGAUGCUCGCGUCCACUGUGCAGUUCUCAAACUACGAACGGAAACCAGCCGCACCUGCGGGACCCACCACCACCACCACCACCGGUAUCCCACGACGAACCAGCCCGCAAACCUGCCUCCCACCAGCCCCAAAAGGCCAGCAGAAGGCAGGAUCAUACACGAGGGCAACUCACUCCCUCACAACCCAACAGCGUACCGAUCCACCCAGACAACCCACCACCCAGAGAACACACAGGAACCCCGGACAACAGACCAGACUAGACAGAAACAUAGUCAGCGUUCCACACCCAUGAGCACCCAGACCAACCAUCCAGCUGGUCUUCGCUCUGGACCAGACACCCUCCACUACAGAGGGCACCCAGCCAGAAAGCUCCUUAGAAAGGAGGUGAUCCAGCCGCACCUUCCGGUACGGCUACCUUGUUACGACUUCGUCCCAAUCGCCGGUCCCACCUUCGACGGCUCCCCCCACAAGGGUUGGGCCACCGGCUUCGGGUGUUACCGACUUUCGUGACGUGACGGGCGGUGUGUACCAGGGCCG
rnacentral:rRNA from 1 species